rnacentral:rRNA from 1 species
AUACGGAGGAUGCGAGCGUUAUCCGGAUUUAUUGGGUUUAAAGGGUGCGUAGGCUGUGCGUUAAGUCAGGGGUGAAAUGCCGUCGCUCAACGACGGAGCUGCCCUUGAUACUGGCGUGCUGGAGUACGGAUGCCGUUGGAGGAAUGAGUGGUGUAGCGGUGAAAUGCUUAGAUAUCACUCAGAACACCGAUUGCGAAGGCAUCUGACGAAUCCGACACGGACGCUGAGGCACGAAAGCGUGGGGAUAGAACAGGAUUAGAUGCCCUGGUAUUCCCCGCCGUAAACGAUGAUGACUAGCCGUCGGCGAUAGACAGCCGGUGGCCAAGCGAAAGCGAUAAGUCAUCCCCCUGGGGAGUACGUCGGCAACGAUGAAACUCAAAUGAAUUGACGGGG